UUCAGGAAUUUCUGCAUGCUGUAUCUUUUACCUCCCAGCAUGCCCGGGGCUGUCAUUUUGGACAGAGCGGGGUGUGGAGGGCACUGUCAGCUGGGGCUCUGCUAUGGGGGACAUCUUGGCAUGUGACUAAGGAGUGGGGACAGGCAAUAGUCCCCGAGGAGAAGCUGGAAGAGAAAGACAGCAUGGUGAUUUGGGAGUGGAGAGCUGGAAGGAAAAGGGUUUCCUUGGAACCGUGUCGGUUCUGGGGAUGCUGGGCUUACAGUGCCACUACUUCUUGUUUGUUUUAAGAGUGCAGUGAAGACCUUUUGUGGCCUUGUCCUGGCAUAAAGAAAUUAACCCAAAAUAGAUCUAAAACAUCACUGGCAUCAUAAUAGUUAAUGGGGAUUCUGAGAGCAUUGAUCCAAAACUGAUGCCUACCUUUGGGAUUCCAAAUGGAUGGUACUUCCAUUACGGCAAGCUCAGCUGCGUUCGGCAAUGACAGAUAUUGAUGAGAUAACAAGUUUGCUGCAUCGAUGCUGCCCGAGAGUGCUGUCUGCUCAAACUCAUCUAAACCCUGUUUUACAAAGCAGCCCCUAAGGCAGAGAUGAAGCACUGAAAGCUUUUUGGGCCGGUUUUAGGGGUGGUGCACCUUUUGUGUGCUGUUGAUGCUGAACAUCAACCAUUGUAGACUCAGGCCUGCAAAACGUGUGAGGAUAAAGUCAUUGUUCCUUUGGAGGGGAAGCACAAUUCCCCCUGGUGUUACCUGCAGCAGAUAAGAUUUUCCAGCCUGUGCCUUGCAGAAGCCCCAGACCUAGAAGAAUUCUAUUCAUCCCUCUCCCAAUAGCUCCAGGAGGCACCAUGUUGGCAAGGCUUUGGAGUCAGGAGAAAUAUGGAACAGCUGCUGGUUUAGCUUUGGUGUUGUGGCUUUUUAAGUGCUAUAGAAAAGCUAUCCUUGGUGAUUCGCUGUGAUUCAGUGCAAAGAUGGUUUUGUAAAAGAUACUGAAAGGGUCGUUGCCAGUGCAGGAGUUUGAAUAACGUGGCUGUACGGCUUCUUAUGAAAUGGAAGAUCUGAUUAUUAAACAUAGACCGUAAUAAAAAUAGUUUCUGGUGUUGGCGGAUGCAUUUCAGCAAAGAAAUGUGGCUUAAAUGUCUUCAUUUAAUUCCAGUGUGUUUAAAAUUGAUCUCAUGGACCGGAAAAGAGGUUUUUUUCCCCUUAACUAGGGUCUGUGAAGGAAAUUAAUACAGGGAAGGGAAAAUAGAAAUACAAUACCACACUCAGUGAAACAAAUGCUUGUGACUGAGGGCUUCAUUCCUUGCUAGCACCACUGGAACAGCCAGCUGUAUAAGGUAUGUUUUAUUAUAGAAUUAACCUUGACCUAGGGUUCAAAGAGAAAGGUUAGUUUGAAAUAAAUCAGUAGUAUGGUCAGGUCACUUCAAAGGGUCUAAAGCUGAGCUUGAAGAUUACAUGCUGUUUAUGUGUAUCCAGUUGGAAUAGAACAUAUGGUAAAGAUAAUAGAAGUAAACUAUUUAUCUCUUCCCCUCUCGCCCCCCCCCCCUUAGGAUUUAACGGCUUUUUGUCCUUUGCAUAGAUCUGCUGCAGGGAACGUGUUUGUCCUGGGAUGUUUAUUGAAAACAGAAAUAUGGAAUAAAACGGCCUCCUUAAGUCAGCUGGGUAAAAUAGUCUUGCCUUUAGCGUUUUUCCAAUUGCUCAGAUUAAAGUAAACUGUUUUGGAAAUAGUCA